AGAGUUUGAUCCUGGCUCAGGACGAACGCUGGCGGCGUGCUUAACACAUGCAAGUCGAACGAGAAAAGUUUCCUUCGGGGAAGGCGAGUAGAGUGGCGCACGGGUGAGUAACACGUGGGUAAUCUACCCCUCAAUUUGGGAUAACAUUGCGAAAGUGAUGCUAAUACCGAAUAACAUCCAUAAUACUUUGGUAUAGUGGACCAAAGGUGGCCAAUCCUUGGAAGCUACUGUUGGGGGAUGAGCCUGCGUACCAUUAGCUAGUUGGUAGGGUAAUGGCCUACCAAGGCGACGAUGGUUAGCUGGUCUGAGAGGAUGAUCAGCCACACUGGAACUGACACACGGUCCAGACUCCUACGGGAGGCAGCAGUGAGGAAUUUUGCGCAAUGGGGGCAACCCUGACGCAGCAACGCCGCGUGAGUGAUGAAGGCCUUUGGGUCGUAAAACUCUGUCAGCAGGAAAGAAGUUAUAUAUGGUUAAUACCCAUAUAUAUUGACGGUACCUGCAAAGGAAGCACCGGCUAACUCCGUGCCAGCMGCCGCGGUAAUA
rnacentral:rRNA from 1 species